UGGGAAAUGAUGAUGCCUGUGACUGCUGACAAGACACUGAAGUCUGUUGUAUUCGUACUGGCUGAUCCCG
rnacentral:snoRNA from 1 species